UUGCUACGGUCUUCAGGAGAUAGCAUCGAAGGAUAGACGAGAACACAUGGACUUGUGUCGAAUCGACGUUUCGGAAGAGCUCGGUCGCUAUGUAGCGACCGAACAUAACACACGCUCGGUCGCUACGUAGCGACUGAGCUUGGCUCGAGCUCGGUCACUACGUAGCGACCGGAUAGCGUGCAUGUGCGGUAGUUGCGCAAUGACCGAGCUUGGUUUGUCCGUGUUCCGAUUGUCAUACUCGAACCUAUCCGUCACUGGCUUGGGUACGUUUUCGACGGCUUAUGUUUGAUCUAAAUAGAAUUCGAAUGAAACUUCAUCUCGAGAAGAUAAGUUGUGACGUUCUCUUAACCAAGCAUGAUUUUUGCGGAGAUUUGAACGUUAACUUUGUCGUAACCGUUUUCGACCCCAACAACAACCUUUUUAUUCUACUUUUAUUGAAUCGAUUAGUCAAAACCACUAAUGUUAUUCCACUUUGAACUAAACAACUUGAAAAUAAAGUAAUACACUACAAUCGCUAACUACUAUCAAAUAGAUCCGGAAAAUAUCAUUCUCUUUCAACAUAUUUUCAAUUUCAUAUUUUUCAACAUAUUUUCUUUACAAAGACGAUAAAAUGAAUUGUAAGUUCGUGUAAAAAUAAAAUAUAUGAACCCGGCGCGUAACGCCGGAAUACCACUAGUUAUCAUAUAAACAGAGAUGUUCAAGAAAUUGUUUAGUAUCAUUGUUGGUAAACCUGGUUAUCAUUGUUGGUAAACCUGGUUCAACCAUUACUAUGUCCAAUACACCACCAAAUCGAAAACAAAGAGAAAUAUUCAGAUUAUUUUUUGGAUAAGCCGAUUACAGACAUGGAAAGUCUAGACUGGGACCCAGAGAGCAGAAUAAUAUCUGCUUCGAUAAUAAAACGAAUUUUUAUUAAAAAAAUAUACUUUUAAAAAUUAUUUAAUAGUAAAAAUAUUUUUUUUUUAAUAUUUAGUAGUAAUUUUUUUAGAAAUUUUUUUUUCAAAAUCCUAAAAAAAUAUUUGAAAACAAUUUAUUUAAUAUAAUUUUCCUUUUCUAAAAUUUUAAUGAAAAUAUAAUUAUAAAAUAUUAUAUUGAAUUUGGUUCUUCAAAAUUGCUAAUUAAAAUGAUUGUGACACAUGUCAGUUAUAUAUUUAGAAAUGUGAUAUGUGUUAAACUAUCUCAUAAUAAAAAUAUAUAUACUAAAAUAAUAAAAAUUAUUUUUCUUAGAAUAUAAUUAUAAAUAUUAUUUAAUAGUCGUAUUAUUAUUAUUAUUAUUAUUAUUAUUAUUUUAACAAGAAAAUUUGUAAAAAAAAUUAGUGAUAUU